rnacentral:rRNA from 1 species
UACGGGGGGGGCAAGCGUUGUUCGGAAUUACUGGGCGUAAAGGGCUCGUAGGCGGCCAACUAAGUCAGACGUGAAAUCCCUCGGCUUAACCGGGUAACUGCAUCUGAUACUGGAUGGCUUGAGUUCGGGAGAGGGAUGCGGAAUUCCAGGUGUAGCGGUGAAAUGCGUAGAUAUCUGGAGGAACACCGGUGGCGAAGGCGGCAUCCUGGACCGACACUGACGCUGAGGAGCGAAAGCCAGGGGAGCAAACGGG